rnacentral:rRNA from 1 species
GACGAACGCUGGCGGCGUGCUUAACACAUGCAAGUCGAACGGAAAGGCCCUGCUUUUGUGGGGUGCUCGAGUGGCGAACGGGUGAGUAACACGUGAGUAACCUGCCCUUGACUUUGGGAUAACUUCAGGAAACUGGGGCUAAUACCGGAUAGGAGCUCCUGCUGCAUGGUGGGGGUUGGAAAGUUUCGGCGGUUGGGGAUGGACUCGCGGCUUAUCAGCUUGUUGGUGGGGUAGUGGCUUACCAAGGCUUUGACGGGUAGCCGGCCUGAGAGGGUGACCGGCCACAUUGGGACUGAGAUACGGCCCAGACUCCUACGGGAGGCAGCAGUGGGGAAUAUUGCACAAUGGGCGGAAGCCUGAUGCAGCAACGCCGCGUGCGGGAUGACGGCCUUCGGGUUGUAAACCGCUUUCGCCUGUGACGAAGCGUGAGUGACGGUAAUGGGUAAGGGAGCACCGGCUAACUACGUG